rnacentral:rRNA from 1 species
CACGCAUGACACACUGCAUAUCAAUAAGCGGAGGAAAAGAAACUAACAAGGAUUCCCUUAGUAACGGCGAGUGAAGCGGGAAGAGCUCAAAUUUGAAAUCUUCAAGGUUUUACCUUGACGAAUUGUAGUUUAAAGAAGUGUUUUCUGUUGGAGUUUCGGAUAAAAGUUCUUUGGAAUAGGACAUCAUAGAGGGUGAGAAUCCCGUAUUUGAUCCGUUACUUUCUAGCUUUGUGAUACACUUUCAAAGAGUCGGAUUGUUUGGGAAUGCAGUCCAAAAUGGGUGGUAAAUUUCAUCUAAAGCUAAAUAUUGGCGAGAGACCGAUAGCGAACAAGUACCGUGAGGGAAAGAUGAAAAGAACUUUGAAAAGAGAGUUAAACAGUACGUGAAAUUGUCAAAAGGGAAGCGUUUGACACCAGUGUUGUUUUCUCGAAAAUCAAUUAAGAAUGAUUGUAUUUUGAGGUUGUAUUGACUUAUCAGGCUUUCUGCACUUUUUCUUAUGAACUUUUUAAUGCACUUUUCGGUUAACAAGUCAACAUCAAUUUCUUUUGUUGUAAAAGAGUCAUUGGAAGGUGGCUUUUUCUUCGGAAAAAGUGUUUAUAGCCUUUGGCUUCUGCAAUCGGAGAGAUUGAGGUCUGCAGCGUAGAUCCUUCGGGGUUAGAUACAUUUGUGCUAAGCUAUAGUUCUUUAUAGACAACUUGUUGACUAUAAUCAAUCCUGUAACUUACUCGCUUAUGCUAUUUUACCUACGCUUAGGAUGUUGACUGAUAUGUAGUCGUA